CCUAGGCAUCACUUAAGAAUGAGAAUGGCUGCCAGGGAAACCAACUACAGAUCUGAGGAGUUUCUAUUAUGUAAUGUGAAAAAGAAGAUUCCCUGGCUGCAUGGAACUUACAUCUCAUGGUAAACAUCGAAAAGAACAGUAUAAGAGAAGUGACACCAUAAGGCUGUGUAAAAUGUAAUACUAAAUAAUUGGUAGUGGUAAUAAACUGCUGUUAAAGUCAGAGUAAAAAA